CAGCUGUGCAAAUUACUAAAAAUUAGUUUAACUGAUACUGUCAUGAGAUCCACUGCACUGGCUGAGGGUAGUUACAGCAAUCCAUGGUUCUGCCUGACCUUCCUCAUCUGAUGAUUCCUUGGUAGCAGCCCUACACUUUGGAAGAGCAGCUGGCAAAUUUUCUGGAGGCAAAUAUCUGAAGGCUUGCUGUGUGCCUGCCUCUCAAGGCUAUGGAAGAAAGGUGUGGACAGCCUUAGAAAGACCUUUGUAAAGGGAUGAAGCCUUCCUGUGCCCAGAGAGAAGCUGCACUGCCUAUUACCAGCCUUGAAGACUCUGUUCAGGAUCUGCACAGCCCAGUGGAGAUGGUGUGGAGAUAUUGCUUGCUGCUGGAUAUAUCUAGGUGA
rnacentral:lncRNA from 1 species